rnacentral:lncRNA from 1 species
AUGUGGGACCCCGGGCACGGCCGGACCGUGUCCCUCGGCCACCCCGGGCCGAAGCCAGGGAACGGCAGCGAAGGCGCUUCCCGGGGAGCGGAGGGGCCGGGCCGGCUCAGCAGCCCCGCGGCGGUGGCUGCAUGUGGCGGGGCUUCCCUGCUCCUUUCCCCCGAGUUUUCCCGCUGGGAUCUCCUGCUGAGUUCCCCUCACCGGGGCUGGGGAGCGCCGAGAAGCCGCGUCCCGCCCGCGGCCGCGCUGGGAGCGGCUCCCGACGGCGCCGAGGAACCGGAGCGGAUCCCGGGUCGGGAGCGCCGGGAGCAGCGGGGCAGGAGCCGGGGAAGAGCCGCAGCGGAAGCCCUGCCCUUCCUUGCCGGUGGCCGUGCCACCCUGGGCCGGUGCCCGGUGACCGGGGGCAGCUCCCUCGGGGAGGAUUUGUCGGAACGGGACCGCAGCGCUCACCCGACCGCUCCCGGCCCGCCGGAGCGCCCCGCACGUACCUGGAUGUCCGAGAGAGCCGCGGGCGGCUCCUGCGCUCCGGCCAUGGCUCCUUCGGAGCCUUCCCGGCGCUUCCCGGCGCUUCCCGGGACGGACGGAGGGAAGCUGGAAGCGGCUCCCGCCGCCGCCGCCGCCCGGACUCGCUCCACGCCCGGCGGCGGGACACGGGCUCGGCGCAGCCGGAGGAACCUGCCCGGCCGGGGCGGCUGGAGCUUCCCAGAGCGGCUGGAGCUUCCCAGGAGCAGCUGGAGCUUCCCGGAGGAGCGGCUGGAGCUUCCCAGGAGCAGCUGGAGCUUCCCAGGCGGCACCGUGCCAGCCCCGGGAACGGGCAGGGAUCAGCCUCCGGCGUGGGAGAGCCCAAAGGAGCGCCCGGGUGCCCCUGGGCACUCCGGGAAUGAGGGAACAGCGCUGGGAGAGCAGCCGGGAGCUCCUGGUGCUGCUGCAGAGCCCAGAGGAGUGCACAGAGCUGCACUCAGAGCCCCUCAGAUCCCAGGGAUCCAGGCUGGGAGAGCUGGGAAUGCCCAGCCUGGAGAGGAGAAGGAUCCAGGGAGAGCUUCCAGCUCAUUCCAGGCCCUGAAGGGGCUCCAGGAGAGCUGCAGAGGGACUGGGGACAAGGGACAGAGGGACAGGACACAGGGAAUUGGCUCCCACUGCCAGAGGGAUGGAUGGGAGAUUGGGAAUGAGGAAUUCCUGGCUGGGCUGGGAUUGCCAGAGCAGCUGGGGCUGCCCCUGGAUCCCUGA